GGUGCUGGGCCGGGCCGGGCGCGGGGGCCCCUGUGGUUGGCUACCGCGCGCGCUGACGCCCAGAGUCCCUUUUAAACUGGCUCCCGUGGGGCACCCUCCCUUUUCGAGCGCGCAUCACGGCUCGGGCUCAAGAGGUCAAGAUUCUGAUGGACUUAGAUCUGGGGCUUGAAACGAAGAAAUGGAUUUGAAAGAAGCUUUUCAAGUAGUGGGUGAUUUGACCAUGUGACGACUGAUACAUGCAGAAGACAGCUUUUGCUCUUUAUUCUUCAUGGUGGGGAGGUGUCGAAUUAAUUUUUAGCAGGUCAGGGGCCCAAGAGAUGAACAGCAGGUAGGGAACUUGCCUUGAACGUGACUGGCAUGGAUUCAAUCCCUGGCACCGCUAAGUCCUGAGCACUGCUGGGUGUGAUCCAAAAGCAAACUUUUAAGCAGGUGCCAAAUGUCCAAGAUAAAACUGUAUCCUGUAUCUCCCUCAUAAUGAAUUUCUAUUGAUUUAAAAUUCUUUAAAGCAAUCUUUUUAAGGAACUGGCAGUAUCCUGAAUUUUACAACUAUCUUCGUUUUAUUUUUGGAUCAUGCCCCAGCUGUUUUAUUUAGGGAAAUGCCCACUCAGCAUUGAUCUUGGUGCCAUACAGUGCCAAGAUCAUGUGUUGGUUUAUUAAAGUUCUAGGACUUAGGGUUUAUAUGCUCUCAAAAAUUACUGAGUACAGAGCAUUGAUAUAUUUAAGUUGACCCAAAAGAUAAGAUUGUUGUAUUCUGGGCGGGUAUGGUCUGUGCCUUGCAGCAGCCACCCCUCUAUGUUCAAUCCUCAGCACCACAUAUGUUAGCCUGACUACAGCCAGCUGUGGUCCAAAACUGGAAGAAAAGGGGGCCACUGAUGGUCUUCUAAGGAACCAGGAUGGUUACAAAAAGGGUGGGGGUACGAUUCUGCAUCCCAUAAUGAUGCUGGAGCUUAACCUUUGUCAGA